rnacentral:rRNA from 1 species
AUUGAACGCUGGCGGCAUGCCUUACACAUGCAAGUCGAACGGUAGAGGAGCAAUCCUCGAGAGUGGCGAACGGGUGAGUAAUGUAUCGGAACGUGCCCAGUAGUGGGGGAUAGCCCGGCGAAAGCCGGAUUAAUACCGCAUGAGACCUGAGGGUGAAAGCGGGGGACUCGCAAGGGCCUCGCGCUACUGGAGCGGCCGAUAUCAGAUUAGGUAGUUGGUGGGGUAAAGGCCUACCAAGCCUGCGAUCUGUAGCUGGUCUGAGAGGACGACCAGCCACACUGGGACUGAGACACGGCCCAGACUCCUACGGGAGGCAGCAGUGGGGAAUUUUGGACAAUGGGCGAAAGCCUGAUCCAGCCAUGCCGCGUGCGGGAAGAAGGCCUUCGGGUUAUAAACCGCUUUUGUCAGGGAAGAAAUCCUUUGAGCUAAUACCUCGGGAGGAUGACGGUAUCUGAAGAAUAAGCACCGGCUAACUACGUGCCAGCCGCCGCCGUAAGAC